AUGCGGGCGGCGUGGAAUUCGGCGCAGCCAGUUAGGUUUCGGCCGGUCGGCCCGAAGCUGUUUGUGGUGCAGGCGGCGUGCUUAGGAGAUUGGGAACGGAUGCUAGAGCAGGGUCCUUGGCUGUUCAGGAACAUGUUGGUGUUACUGUGCCCAUACGAUGGAUUCACCAAACCUGAAGAGAUGUCUAUGGUGUUCAUGCCGAUCUGGCUCCAAAUCCACAAGAUACCGGAUGGCUUUUGCAAGAAGAGCAUUGUCGAGCAUCUGCUCAGAAACUCAGUGUUUGUGGUCUUAUUGGCCAUGACUGCAAAGAGUGUGGGCCUGGAAUACAUGAGGAGAAGGACAAGAAGUUUGGGGCCUGGCUGUAUGUAG
rnacentral:rRNA from 1 species